ACCGUUUAACAUACUCCCACCAUGUAUUAGCAUACCCUUCGAAGUGAGCUAUAGCAUAGCAACUUUUCUUUUCUUCGGUGAGAUCAUUAAGUUGGAAGAUCUUGUCACAAGAUGACUCCCAUGCAAGGUAGGCUUCGGGAUCACUCUCACCUUUGAAAACGGGAAGGCUCACUUUGAUGGAAUUGGGACCUACAUCUCGGUUUAGGUGGCCAUCUUUCACCUCUCGG
rnacentral:lncRNA from 1 species